CUGAAUUAUUCCCAUCCAUCUAGUAGGAAAGGAAAAAAGAAUGUUGAAGGAUCAUGCAAAAUGCUUUAGGGGCCAGUCCUGGAGGUAAAAUAGGUUACAUUGGCUAGAAUGCUCUUACACAUUGCCACCUAUUUCAAGAGAUGCUGAGAUUUGGAGUCCUCUUGAGUGCCCAGAGAUUUGAGUAUCACCUAGCACUGUUUCUGCUUCAGUAUAUGGAAUGCAACUUUAUUCUGUUAAAAACGGGAGCUCUAUCAAUAGUUUCUUACCACACAAGAUUCCAAGUGGAUAGCGGAGGACACAGCACAAACUGGACAAACUGGCUAAAAUUACCCAGAGCCCUCUAGUGUGGAAAAAUACAGCAGAGAGGGCGAAAAAAUCAUUUUUAACACUCAAAAAGCAAGGGGG